rnacentral:rRNA from 1 species
CGGUAACUUCAGCUCCAAUAGCGUAUAUUAAAAUUGUUGCGGUUAAAACGCUCGUAGUUGGAUAUCUGCCAAGGAGUUUCGGUCCUCCCCAGUGGAGAAUACGCGGAACAUUUCUUGGCACUUGUUCAGGGAAGGUGUUUGCACUUUGUUGUGCGUCACGUGAUCUGAAUUUUUACUUUGAGGAAAUGAGAGUGUUUCAAGCAGGCUUUUGCCAUGAAUAUGAUAGCAUGGAAUAAUAGCACAGGACCCCUUCCCAAAGCUGUUGGUCUUUGGAACGAGGUAAUCAUAAUAAGGACAGUUGGGGGUAUUCGUAUUUAACUGUCAGAGGUGAAAUUCUUGGAUUUUUUUAAAGACGAACUAUUGCGAAGGCAUCUGCCCAGGAUGUUUUUGUUGAUCAAGAACGAAAGUUAGGGGAUCGAAGACGAUCAGAUACCGUCCUAGUCUUAACCUUAAACUAUGCCGACUGGAGAUUGGAGUCGUCAGUCCUUGACGUCUUCAGCAUCCUGAGAGAAAUCUAAGUCUUUGGGUUCCGGGGGGAGUAUGGUCGCAAGGCUGAAACUUAAAGGAAUUGACGGAAGGGCACCACCAGGAGUGGAGCCUGCGGCUUAAUUUGACUCAACACGGGGAAACUUACCAGGUCCAGACAUAGAUAGGAUUGACAGACUGAUAGCUCUUUCUUAAUUCUAUGGGUGGUGGUGCAUGGCCGUUCUUAGUUGGUGGAGUGAUUUGUCUGGUUAAUUCCGUUAACGAACGAGACCUUAACCUGCUAAAUAGUUUCCAAAACUUCGGUUUUCGGCUUACUUCUUAGAGGGACUUCGUGUGUUUAACAUGAGGAAGUUUGAGGCAAUAACAGGUCUGUGAUGCCCUUAGAUGUCCUGGGCUGCACGCGCGCUACACUGAUGUGUCCAGUAAGCACCUAACCUCAUCCGAAGGGAUCGGGUAACCUUUGCAACGCACAUCGUGAUGGGGAUAGAUUAUUGCAAUUAUUAGUCUUGAACGAGGAAUUCCUAGUAAGCACAAGUCAUCAGCUUGUGUUGAUUACGUCCCUGCCCCUUGUACACACCGCCC